GAUCCCUUCAGCUCCCCUCCCCACCGACCACACACCCUCACCAAACCGUGUAGGGCCUCUUCGAGCAGCAGCUUGACAAGAUCGACCGGGACGACAAGCCCACGGCGCAACCGUCCAGAGCGAGGAGCUCCGACAUUCACCGGCGGCGGCAGUGCCCGCCUCUCUCUCCCUCCGGCAAGAGCUUCCCGGCGGCUCUCUCUCCUCCGGCGAAGCGCGCCCCGGCGACCCAAAGGCGAAUCCCGCCUUUCCCUCCACUUUUCCCCGGUCGGUGGUGUCCCUUGACUCCGCACAAGGCGACCCGCCGACCUUCCUUAGCUGCGUGCGGUGCUGCGGAUGGCCUCGGUAAGUCAGCCUAGCCAACGGCAGGUGGCCGUGGCUGUAGCACUGCUGGUUUCGCUGCAGCUGGAGUUCGCCGGUGCCAGCCCUGAAGUUGCCAUCUUGUGUUGGUACCGAAUCUGGUCAACUGAAAUUGCACGGGUGUCCUGCUGCGGCUGCCACAACGCUAGGACAUGGCCGCAAAAUCUAGCGCCUUGCAAUUUUUUUUCUGAGGUUGCAGUUAAGCCAGAAUUAAUCACCUUCACCUUCUUGGCUUAGUCAACCAACUGCAGAAUUCCUGUGUGAGGGGGCUUGCAGCGGCAAGGAGACUCGCAUCAUGCUGCUGCCUAAAUUACUGCUGCGUUGCAAUUGUACAAUUUUUUCUGAUCUGUGCAAGGAAGAGUUCUGCAAAUCGCCACCUUGUCAUGCCCAAAAGGUUACACUUUGCUGGUUUGUCGUAACAUCAGGGUAUUGUGUUCAAUUUAAAGUCUGAAAUGCAAUUCUUCCAGCAAGAGGUAUUUACUUGCAAAGCUAGGAUGCGGCAACAUGCUCUCAUGUGACAUUAUUCAUAUUCUUUCUCUCUUUCUAGAUGUGUUUGUGUUCUUUCUCUUCAACAAUUUGUGAGGUUGAAAGUGGUCAUUGGUUUCUUUUCAUCCUUCAUGUAUUCAUGAGAACCUUUAUAGUGACUAAAAGAUUCAGUAGACACGUGUAGGAGGAACUAGCUUUGAAUCAUUCAGGAGUUUCUAUUUCCUUAAAAAAAACUACAAAUAUUCCUUUUGUACACACUAAAUAUAUAGAAUGUGUUUGGGUCAAUCUUCCAGUGAUAGUGUGACUGGACCAGAUCUUGACUUGGUGCAUGCUAUUGUUCAAAGUUCACAUUGUAUAGCGCAACAGGGAAUUGGCAGUGGUUUUGAACUUUUGAUGUCAGUGCUGCUGUCUAUGUGACUUUUCUCUUUUCCUUCAGAGGACUUGCCAUCUGUUUCACCAGCAGCAGUAGCCAAGCUGCAGUAGUGGCAGUUACCUGGAAAGCUUCGAUGCAUUAGAUCGAUAACAAAUGGUUUUUUUUGUUAAGAAACCAUUUUCCUUUGUGGUAGAUUCGUGUAGCCGUUGUUCUGCUGACUAUGGUACUCACUGUUAGGAUAAAUUUGCUGAUUUAGAAUUUGUUUUACGACGACUUGAGAAGCUCGUUUUUGCAUCAUCUAAAUAUCGUCUCACAAGUAGAAACAACAAAUACUGAAAUUUAUUGCAUAGUUGCAUUCUGAAUCCUGUUAUUGCUGGUCAAACUAAUGUUCAUACUUGAUUCAGUCUACCAUCCUUCGGUUAAAACCAUAUUCGUUUUAUGGAGUAGUUACGAUAAUCAUUGUACAUGUGAUUUUUAGUGCAAAUGCAGAUAGUUAUCUGAUUAGACAUUGCGCUAAUGUAUACACCAGCAUAGGUAUCCUGCAACAACUUUGACAUCAGCCCACAUAAUAGUCUUAAAUAUCUGGCAGAAACUACAGGAGUUCCAAUGUUCAGUUUUAUUUUCCUUCAAUAAUGUUGAACUUAGCUAGGUGUAGUCUUGCUUUAAACGUUUUGAUUUAAGUACCUUCUUUGUUAUACUUUUUGUGCUUUGCCGAUAGUUAAGGAUUUGCAUUUAACAUAGAUUGAUCAUACAUUUUACCUAGUUAGUGUAAGUGUAUAUCAGUAUAUGAACACAAUUUGGAUUGUUGUUUUGCAUAUUGGCUAAUGCUUUGUGGAAUCUGCUUCUGGAUAUGGAUUUUAUGGAGAAGUUAUAAGGGAGAGUCAAAACUACUGAUGGAUGGGCCCUGCACGCUAUUAUUUUUCUGGAGCAAUGGUCUUUCUGAAGCACAGAUCUUAUGAGGCAAAAGUGGCCUUUUCUUGAGAAUAUUAGCACUCUCACUUACGGCAUUAGCAGAAAAUGUUGCAAAUGGAGUACAGCCUCUGCAAUCUCGUCAAAAAAGACCUCUGAAGAUCAUCUGCCGAACAUAUUGUUCUAUAUGCAAAGAACUUUCAACAUCUAAACGAAAUUCAGGAGACGGAUCCCAGACAGCUCUUGCAAUUUGUCAGGGCUCUUUCAGAGUAGUUAGUUAGGAUUGCAAAGUGAUGACAAUACCCAUUCCCGAAAUUAGUUAACUGUGCUGAGUUACUUCUAAGUUUUCUUUGCAAAGGAAAGAGUAUACCUUAUGUCCGUUUACUUUCACUUGAGUUGAGCUUAGGCAUCACAGAAACAAGAGCGACACAGGAAAUAUACUUGUUGUAUUCUUCAUCUGUCUAGUUAGUACACUAAGAAGCAAGAGCGACACAGAAAAUAUACUUGAAACAUUUUUCGUGUUAUAUUCUUGUU